ACUUACUUUCUUCUCGACUUUUCUUUUCUUUUCUUUUUUAUUUAGCUCCGAAGCAUUUUAAUUAAAUAAAAGUACAAUUUAUUUAUAAAUUGAUUAAUAUAUUUUUAGAUAAUUUUCUAUAUUUUCUGAAAGACGAGAUUACUGUUGACUCCCCUCCUGCCACCCAUGCACACAGUGCGCUCCUACCUCUUCCACCACCAUCCCUCCGCUAGCGCCCCGCUCGCCCUGGCCCCCUCCUCCUCCGUCGCCGUUUGAGAACCUGACCGACUUCGUCGUCGACUUCAAGCUCCUCGAGAUCUUGUAGGAGUUCCCUGACUGCUCCAGCUUUGGCUCCGACAAGCUCCAGAGUUGAAGAGUCAAGUCCGUGGAUUCAAAGAAAAAUUACGUACAUAAGAAGAAUUCACGCAGCAAUCCCCGACUUUGACAGGGUUACCGGAGGAAUGCGAUGAUGCUCGAGUUGCAGGGGAGGUGUGUGUGUGGUCUGUUCCUCGUCAUCUCUUCUAAUAAUCCUUUUAUCAGGAUAGCAGAGAGGAGUUCAUUAGCUUGUCCUGAUCUCUUCUGCUUCAUAUCAAUCGUGCGCAGUAGACAAGAUUUUUAUACCUUGUGAUCAUAAUAUCAAUAUUUCCCUAUAUAUUUCACACAGAUUUAGGAGUAUAUCUCCUGCUCUGCAGUUGCAGCAGAUGCAGAACAGUAGGAAGCAGUCUGCCUUCACUUACAUACAUGUUUUAAGGAUGAACUGGGCGCGAACCGAUCCAUGAGCAUGCAAACGGUGGCUUCCGAGAGCGUGGUCGUCCUCCUCUGCCGCCGCUUCUCCCGAACAGCUUCCUCCUCCGCUGUAAGCAGUACUUCGGUUCCCUUCACCUCGUCUUCCUCCUGCCUGGCGGAGCUGCAAGUCCCGGUGCUCUGCUGUUUACUCCCGAGCUUGGCAAUGACUCCACCCAUCCACAUUCCCACAAAGCCUGACAUCUCUGCUACUUCUUCUCAGAAUGCUCCUGUUCAAAGCUACACAGGUUUCGCUAAGUAUAUAUCGAGAGGAGGAGGAAGAAAGCAGGGGUUGAGCUCCACGGUCGUCUCUUCUUAUCUCUGUUGCCCCCCACAUUGGCUGCGUCACGCAAUGGUUUUCCCAGCCCAUUGGCUUCCGCUGCAGGGAAUUGCUCGGUGAACCGCGUAGGUGUCACAUCAACGCCUACACAAUUUGACACGGAUUAGAAAUGAUCUAGAUGAUUGAUGGCGAUUUGGGCUGAGUUGGAGGGUUUUUCUUGUUUGGCAAGGAUCUACCGCAUCUUCUUCUUCCUUUUUGUGUGCAUGGGCACUCUUUGAUUC